GUUUGAACAGAAGUGGAGCUUAUUAUUUCCAGUUUCAACGCUCGUUUUCUGGAUGAUAAGUGGUGCGUGAAAACCCGAAGAUUUCGAUUCCUCGCUUGGUAGAUUUUGAGAACAAAAUGUGGUACGAAAUUGAACGGAAAUAGUUCGUGUAUAGCAGAGUUUGAUAAUGCAGAAAAAAAUCUGAAAUAGAUGGCCAUUGAAAAAAUUGAAUUGAACUUUGAAAAAAGUUGUCACCAUUAUUCUGUGCUGAAUGAUAAUUAUCCAUUUGGUUUAAAAAGUGAGGACUGCUAUUGAAUUUGUUUACAAACUGUACAGUUCCGAAAGUGAAUGAGCCAAAAAUGUAGGCAGCCUUUGUGAUACAUAUUCAUGCAUGUAUCUUUUGAAGCGUGAGAUGAAGGAUACCGUAUACGUAUCAUUUUUUCAUGAAUUUUCCGGAUAGCUCAGAGCUCGGACCAGCGCCAUCUUUGAUCCUGGCCAAAGGAAAUUACACGAAGCAUACACGAAGCCUCGGCUAUCUGCAUACACAUAUUCCCUAUAUAAAUUCGCGUCCCUGUGAAGAAAAUCUCUUCAUACUAUCUUCGGGUGAAAAAAGGAUGGCACCCGUCAAAGGACACCCAAUGGCGAAAGACGAACUCGCAGAGCUGAGAAUCCUCACAAACGUGUCGCGCGAAGUGCGUAGCGUGGCACGAUUCACAGAGCUAGAAUGAGAGCGUGGAAACGUCCUUGAAGCAGUGCUAUGAAAAGAAGCGUGCGCAGAACGGGUUGGAGACUAUUUGGUGAGCCAAUCAGAGCUCGAGCGCGGAAGACAAAGGAUAAGCGGACUAUAAAAACGCGACGCACAGCAGCACGGAUCGUCAAUCCUUUGCGGUUCUUAGGCUGACUUCGUUGAAGCGUUCAGAUUAAGAAGGUCUCAGAAGAAUCUUUUCCCGAUUUUGGUGGUCCGUAAAAUCUGUUUUUUUUUUCUCAUUCCUUGAUGCUUGGAGUAUUGAAGCCGUUCGGCGACGUUCCAAUCCCAUAGUAAUCCGGAGUCAAUCCCAUUUUUUGAUUUUUUUUCUCUGCUUGUUGGUGCUUGAAGCAUCGAAGCACCAAUUCAGCAGCGUUCCAAUCCGAUAGUCCAGGGUCAAAAAAUUUUUUUUUUUCGUCGUAGAUUCCAGAAGUAUCGAAAUAGUUGGGUGAAAUUCAGCUUCUCUAGUCAAGCACUCUAACAUCCCAUCUCGCGAAGUAUCGUUUCAUUCGACAACGCACAUUUUUCAAAAUCAAUAAUUAAACAAGAAUUAAAACAAAAAUCGAUUGACCAAGGCCCGAGUUAUUCUCUUUAUCCCAAUUAUGCUCAGCGCUCAAAUUCAACAAUCCAGAAAACUACUGUGAUAAUUUAGGAUUGUAUUGCAUCGGUUUAUAAAUAAACAAAGAUCAUUAUUGUAGAGAAUCAGUCUAUUUUCGAAUUUUUAAGACCUCUGAAUAAAACAUUUUUUAUCCACGAAAACUUCAGCUGAAUCAAAAUCAUUUUCGUAGCCAACUUUGGAUGUGACUCAAAUUAUUUUAUCAUGGACUACAUCAAUAACUGUUUAAUGAAUCGAAGAACGUGAUAUCAUUUACUUUAUCAAGCUUUCUUUCUCUAUCAAUAAUGAGAUAACAAUGAAUAUAAUAAAAUCAUAACGCAAAAAAAAACAGCGUUACCCGGUGGGGGGACCAAAAGAUACGAUCAUAUUCAACUAAAUCAAUCAACCGGUUUUUCAGACAGUAACAGCAUUUUUCCGGUUUCUUGCCUGUCCCCCAUUGCUCGUUAAAAAUAAAAAAUAAACCAUACCAAUCUCAGAAGAAUUCUCAGUUUUCAUUAAUCCUUUUAAAAACGAAUACGCAAAAUAACCGA